rnacentral:rRNA from 1 species
GACGAACGCUGGCGGCGUGCUUAACACAUGCAAGUCGAACGGAAAGGCCCUGCUUUUGUGGGGUGCUCGAGUGGCGAACGGGUGAGUAACACGUGAGUAACCUGCCCUUGACUUUGGGAUAACUUCAGGAAACUGGGGCUAAUACCGGAUAGGAGCUCCUGCUGCAUGGUGGGGGUUGGAAAGUUUCGGCGGUUGGGGAUGGACUCGCGGCUUAUCAGCUUGUUGGUGGGGUAGUGGCUGACCAAGUCUUUGACGGGUAGCCGGCCUGAGAGGGUGACCGGCCACAUUGGGACUGAGAUACGGCCCAGACUCCUACGGGAGGCAGCAGUGGGGAAUAUUGCACAAUGGGCGGAAGCCUGAUGCAGCAACGCCGCGUGCGGGAUGACGGCCUUCGGGUUGUAAACCGCUUUCGCCUGUGACGAAGCGUGAGUGACGGUAAUGGGUAAAGAAGCACCGGCUAACUACGUG